rnacentral:lncRNA from 1 species
AUGCUCUUUCUUGAUUUCUACUUCUGCAGAAUUGAGCACCGAGUACAACUCGGGAAUGGUCUUCUCCAUCCCUUGCAUGUUGUAGUUAAGCACAAAGCCUUUGUAGCUUGGUGGGAGAGACUGGAGGAUUCUGUCAAUUAUAGCAUCAUCCGGAAGUUCGACUCCAAGUGAAGUCAGACGACCGUGUAACCCAGACAUUUUGAGUAUGUGCUCACUGACAGAACUGUUCUCUUCCAUCUUACAGCUAAAGAACUUGUCGGAGACUUCAUAUCUCUCGGCACGGGCAUGAGCUUGAAAAACUAGCUUCAUCUCCUGGAACAUCUCAUAUGCCUCAUGUUGCUCAAAACGCCUUUGGAGCCCCGUUUCUAAACUGUAUAACAUGCUACACCUAACCAGAGAGUAGUCAUCACUCCGCGUUUUCCAGACGUUCAGAAUGUCCUGGGCUGCUGCGGGAGCGGGAGGGUCACCUAGCGGCGCAUCAAGGACAUAAGCCUUUUUAGCUGCUUCAAGGACGAGCUUCAAGUUGCGAACCCAGUCCGCAUAGUUGCUACCAUCAUCUUUCAGCUUGUUUUUCUCUAGGAAUGCGUUGAAAUUGAGGUUGACGUUGGACAUCUACAAUAUUUAUAAAGACAACUUUUAGACUAAGUUCAUGACAAUUAAGUUCAUUUAAUCAAAUUAAAUAUGAACUCCCACUUAAAUCGACAUCCCUCUAGUCAUCUAAGUGAUACAUGAUCCAUGUUGACUAACCCGUGUCCGAUCAUCACGUGAGACGGACUAGUCACCAUGGUGAGCAACUCCAUGCUGAUCGUAUUCAACCAUACGAAUCAUGUUCGACCUUUCGGUCUCUUGUAUUCGAGGUCAUGUCUGUACAUGCUAAGCUCGUCGAGUCAACCUNNNNNNNNNNNNNNNNNNNNNNNNNNNNNNNNNNNNNNNNNNNNNNNNNNNNNNNNNNNNNNNNNNNNNNNNNNNNNNNNNNNNNNNNNNNNNNNNNNNNGCGGAGACUGGCCAAGGACGAGGUGACGAUGCGCGUCGGGAAUGGUUCAAAGGUCGAUGUGAUCGCCGUCAGCACGCUGCCUCUACAUCUACCGUCGGGAUUAGUUUUAAACCUUAAUAAUUGUUAUUUAGUACCAGCUUUAAGCAUGAACAUUGUAUCAGGGUCUUGCUUAAUGCGAGACGGCUACUCAUUUAAGUCAGAGAAUAAUGGUUGUUCUAUUUAUAUGAGUGAUAUGUUUUAUGGUCAUGCUCCGCUGGUGAAUGGUUUAUUCUUGAUGAAUCUCGAUCGUGAUGUUACACAUAUUCAUAGUGUGAGUACCAAAAGAUGCAAAGUUGAUAAUGAUACUCCCACAUACUUGUGGCACUGCCGCCUUGGUCAUAUCGGCGUUAAGCGCAUGAAGAAGCUCCAUACUGAUGGACUAUUAGAGUCUCUUGACUUUGAAUCAUUUGACACAUGCGAACCGUGCCUCAUGGGCAAGAUGACUAAGACUCCAUUCUCAGGAAUAAUGGAGAGAGCAACCGACUUAUUGGAAAUAAUACAUAUUGAUGUGUGUGGUCCAAUGAACGUUGAAGCUCGCGGUGGUUAUCGUUAUGUUCUCACUCUCACCGAUGAUUUGAGUAGGUAUGGGUAUAUCUACUUGAUGAAGCACAAAUCUGAGACGUUUGAAAAGUUCAAGGAAUUUCAGAGUGAGGUUGAGAAUCAACGUGACAGAAAAAUUAAAUGUCUACGAUCUGAUCGUGGAGGAGAAUAUUUGAGUCACGAGUUUGGCACACACCUAAGGAAGUGUGGAAUCGUUUCACAACUGACGCCGCCUGGCACACCGCAGCGCAACGGAGUGUCUGAACGUCGUAAUCGCACUUUAUUAGAUAUGGUACGAUCUAUGAUGUCUCUCACCGACUUACCGCUAUCAUUUUGGGGAUACGCAUUAGAAACUGCAGCAUUCACUUUAAAUAGGGCACCGUCUAAAUCCGUUGAGACGACACCGUAUGAACUAUGGUUUGGCAAGAAACCUAAGUUGUCGUUUCUUAAAGUUUGGGGCUGCGAUGCUUAUGUGAAGAAACUUCAACUAGAAAAGCUCCAACCCAAAGAGGAGAAAUGCGUAUUCAUAGGAUACCCUAAGGAAACUAUUGGGUAUACCUUCUAUCUUAGAUCCGAAGGUAAAACCUUUGUUGCCAAGAACGGAUCCUUUCUAGAGAAAGAGUUUCUCUCGAAAGAAGUAAGUGGGAGGAAGGUAAAACUUGAUGAGGUAAUUGCACCCCCUCUCGAACAGGAAAGUAGCGCAGCGCGGGAAGUUGUUCCUGUGGCGCCUAUACCGAAUGAAGAGGAAGUUAAUGAUGAUGAUCAUGAAGCUUCGGAUCAAGUUACUACUGAACCGCGAAGGUCCACAAGGGCACGCUCCGCACCAGAGUGGUACGGCAACCCUGUGAUGGAAAUCAUGUUGUUAGACAAUGGUGAGCCUUCGAACUAUGAAGAAGCAAUGGCGGGCCCGGAUUCCAACAAAUGGCUUGAGGCUAUGAAAUCCGAGAUAGGAUCCAUGUAUGAGAACAAAGUAUGGACUUUGGUGGACUUGCCCGAUGACCGGCGAGCCAUAGAAAAUAAAUGGAUCUUCAAGAAGAAGACUGAUGCAAACGGUAAUGUAACCGUUUACAAAGCUCGACUUGUCGCAAAGGGUUUUCGACAAAUUCAAGGAGUUGACUACGAAGAGGCUUUCUCUCCCGUAGCGAAGCUGAAAUCAGUUCGAAUCAUGUUAGCAAUUGCCGCCUUUUAUGAUUAUGAAAUUUGGGAAAUGGACGUCAAAACAGCGUUCCUUAACGGGAACCUUAAGGAAGAGUUGUAUAUGAUGCAACCAGAAGGUUUUGUCGACCCUAAGGGUGCUAACAAAGUGUGCAAGCUCCAGCGCUCCAUCUAUGGGCUGGUGCAAGCAUCUCGGAGUUGGAACAUUCGCUUUAAUGAGGUAAUUAAAGCGUUUGGGUUCAUACAGGUUUACGGAGAAACCUGUCUGUACAAGAAAGUGAGUGGGAGCUCUGUAGCUUUCCUCAUACUAUAUGUGGAUGACAUAUUAUUGAUGGGGAAUAAUAUAGAGAUGUUGGAGAGCAUAAAGGCCUAUUUGAACAAGAGUUUUUCAAUGAAGGACCUUGGAGAAGCUGCAUACAUAUUAGGCAUCAAGAUCUAUAGAGAUAGAUCGAGACGCCUCAUAGGUCUUUCGUAAAGUACAUACCUUGACAAGAUAUUGAAGAAGUUCAAUAUGGAAAACUCAAAGAAAGGGUCAUUGCCAGUUUUGCAAGGUAUGAGAUUGAGUAAGACUCAGUCGCCGACCACGGCAGUAGAUAGAGAGAAGAUGAGUUAUGUCCCCUACGCUUCAGCCGUGGGCUCUCUAAUGUAUGCCAUGUUGUGUACCAGACCUGAUAUAAACCUUGCCAUAAGUUUGGUAGGGAGGUACCAAAGUAAUCCCGGUACGGAACACUCGACAGCGGUCAAGAAUAUCCUUAAGUACCUGAAAAGGACUAAGGAAAUAUUUCUCGUUUAUGGAGGUGACGAAGAGCUCGUCGUAAAGGGUUACGUCGACGCUAGCUUCGACAUAGAUCCGGAUGACUCUAAGUCACAGACCGGAUACGUAUAUGUGUUGAAUGGUGGGGCAGUGAGCUGGUGCAACAGCAAGCAAGAAGUCGUGGCAGCAUCUACAUGUGAAGCGGAGUACAUAGCUGCUUCAGAAGCGGCUCAUGAAGGAAUUUGGAUGAAGGAGCUCAUCACUGACCUUGGAGUGGUUCCAAGCGCGUCGGGUCCCAUGACACUCUUCUGUGAUAACACUGGAGCCAUUGCCAUAGCCAAGGAGCCCAGGUUUCACUGAAAGACGAAGCACAUCAAGCGCCGCUACAACUCCAUCCAGGACCAUGUCCAGAGUGGAGUGAUAGAUAUUUGUAAAGUACACACGGAUCUGAAUAUUGCAGACCCGUUGACUAAACCUCUUCCACGAGCAAAACAUGAUCAACACCAUAAUGCUAUGGGUGUUCGAUACAUCACAAUGUAACUAGAUUAUUGACUCUAGUGCAAGUGGGAGACUGUUGGAAAUAUGCCCUAGAGGCAAUAAUAAAAUGGUUAUUAUCAUAUUUCCUCGUUCAUGAUAAUCGUCUAUUGUUCAUGCUAUAAUUGUAUUAACAGGAAACAGUAAUACAUGUGUGAAUAAAUAGAUCACAAUGUGUCCCUAGGAAGCCUCUAGUUGGCUAGCUCGUUAGUCAAUAGAUGAUCAUGGUUUCCUGAUCAUGGGCAUUAGAUGUCAUUGAUAACGGGAUCACAUCAGUGGGAGAAUGAUGUGAUGGACAAGACCCAAUCCUAAGCCUAGCACUAGAUCGUAUUGUUCGUAUGCUAAUGCUUUUCUAAUGUCAAGUAUCUUUUCCUUCGACCGUGAGAUUGUGCAACUCCCAGAUGCCGUAGGAGUGCUUUGGGUGUAUCAAACGUCACAACGUAACUGGGUGACUAUAAAGGUGCACUACGGGUAGGGGGGGGGGGGGGGGUUGGGUUGGUACGAAUCGAGAUCGGGAUUUGUCACUCCGUGUGACGGAGAGGUAUCUCUGGGCCCACUCGGUAGAACAUCAUCAUGAGCUCAAUGUGACUAAGGAGUUAGUCACACGAUGAUGUGCUACGGAACGAGUAAAGAGACUUACCGGUAACGAGAUUGAACAAGGUAUAGGUAUACCGACGAUCGAAUCUCGGGCAAGUUCUAUACCGACAGACANNNNNNNNNNNNNNNNNNNNNNNNNNNNNNNNNNNNNNNNNNNNNNNNNNNNNNNNNNNNNNNNNNNNNNNNNNNNNNNNNNNNNNNNNNNNNNNNNNNNGGGGGGGGGGGAGGGUGUUAGAUUUGUAUUGCCCCUUUUUUGUAUAUCCCCAUUAUAUAAGGGGUUUCUACCACUUUUACCAUAUGUAUAUAUAUUGGCCUUUGGCCCCUGUGAAUAUUUGCUCAUUAUCUAACAGAUCCAACACAAGGUUGGGUCGAAGCUAGUUUAUAUCUGGGACGUUACACCAACCUCUCAAGCCAAUCCAACAUUGCAGACAGAUUUAUGAUACACUUCCUUUUCACGAGCCCGAGGCAAUGUACCUAUGUCAAAAAAAGUAGGAGUUCGAGGCAAUGUACCUAAUACAAACUGUGAAGCCUUCCCACCUAGGCUAUACAUGAGGUCCUUGAGAUGCUCUAUAAGAUAUCGGUUAAAAGAGAAAACGUCCAAAAUAAGAGAAAUAUAACUAUAUUUUUUUUGUAUUUGUCGCUUCAAAGGAUCAGUAUGUUGGACAAGAAGAGAAGCACUGAAGUAGCAUCACUCAUCAUCAAGGUCAAAAUCGUUGUCCGAUGCGCACUCGAGAUAUGAACCAAUCGACUUGCGGAAGAUGAUGAAAGACUUGUCAUCCUGUGAAAAAAGAAUGCAUUAUUUUGCAGGAAGAGGUGUUUCAAGCCAUGGAACAAAAAAAACUGGCUGGUCAUUCAGCUUUAGGCCUGACGGGUAGCUAAAAAUGAAGUCUAAGAAAUGCAAGCAGUUGUGAAUUUUGCCACACCUGCUUCAUCCUUUUCAGUGAUGGUUUGGCAUUUGUUAUCUUAUCUGAUAAGGUGUCACCAUGUUCUGACAAUGUAGCCGUCUCCUCCCCUGUUUGAAGGAUUUGAGUGUAAGAGCAGCAUAUUUCCAUCCAAGGGAAAUAAUGAAUCCUCUAGCUACUUACUUUGAUAUUCAUACUGCUCAAGCAGUUUCUUUUUCUCAACUUCAAUUUGUGAGGAUAGAUCUGCAUAAUAGGACAUGUAACAAGUCAAAUAAGAGCCAAAUAUUUUUGCAGAUUCAAUGAGAUCUGAACGUCUUUUAUGGGAACAUCAUCCAAAUAAUGCUGAGUCGCUAAUAAGCAGUAGCCAAGCAAUGCAUAUUUAGAAACAACACACAUAAUUUGAAUACAAGUGUCAUGUAGAUUCUAUUUGCAUCAAAACCAGGUAUCUCAAUAUUUUUUCUAAAGAUAAGAAUCACAGCUCAUACGUAGUAGCCGAUUACACCAAAUGAGAAACAACCAUCACACGUCACAAUGCCCUAAAAUCCUAGAUAGACCUGGAUAGAAGCACAUGAUAUACUUGUGAAAAUGACAACCAGCUCUUAUUUGACAUACCUUUGAAGGUUUGUAAGUGUGCAUCAUUUUCUUCGCAGAACAUUUCAUAUGUUUCCUGAAGCUUGGUGUACUCUUCGUUCAAUGAACUUUCACACUGCUAAUAGUGCAAAUUACACGCCAUAAUUCAAUCUUAGGCAAAUCAGCAAGUAAGUCGACAAUUCCAAAGAAUUGUAAACUGUGUACCUCUUUCGAAGUGCUUGACAGUACUUUCAGCAAAUUCUGCCUGCACAUGCAAAUAUAACAGUGACACUACGUUCUAAAUAAAAACGAACAAGCUUCCUUUUCUGACAGAACUGGUUUCAGGCGUAAUUGUUCAUGCAGGCAUCGUUUCACAGUUCACAAGCAAGUGAGUUACCUUUCCUUCUCAAACUUGGACUUGGUAUCUUCAAGCAUAGUCUGAAUAUUGGCUGCAACACUGUCAGGUUUAGAAAAGUAAAGGAAUAAACAGGGUAAGAAGAAGGUAAAAGAAUAAUGAUCAGCAACAUUAUGCGCUUCAAACUUCACAGUUCAGUCAGCGGAGUCCCUGUUAGUCCACAUGUUAUAAUUUUCGGCUUCUUUUCCUCCCCGAUGCCUGUGUAAAUAAUUCUUUGUAAUAGUUCUGAGAAGUUUAUAGAAAUGUUCAGGCUGGCUUUGCCGGCCGUAGUUCUGAAAAUCAACUCACCCGAACAAAGCCACACCAUGACAUAAGUACAAAACAUGAAUCCGGGAACCCAUCAAAUUAAUAUGUCCAUUUUCCUCGCAUCACUCACAAUGCAUAUCGCUCCGCAUAAUAUACAAAAACUGACAUAUCACCGAACGAACCUAGUUCCUGCAUUAAUCACAGAAACAGCCGAGUGGACGCAUUGCAGGAUUGCAAACGUGCAACAUUUAUUUGUAUCCCUCCCAGUGACCAUGAACUGUAAGUUUUCCACACAAAUCCGCCAGCACGAAAUGCAUCAUAAGAAGCUGCUAGGAUAGCAUACGCCGAUCCCAAUUUUUUUGCACGCUAGCACAUAGCGAGAUAAGAGAAAAUUUAGAGGUGCAAGUGCAACCGAAAGAACACUGUUCUCCGCACCUGGCGAUGAUCUGCUCGCACAUCUUCUGGCCAGCCUUGUUGGUCCCGCCCUUGAUCAACCGCAGCAGGCACGCGAUCUGCCUCAAGUCGCUGCGCCCGCCACAAAAGUAGCCAUCACGGAGUUAAAGCGAGAAGGAAUUAGAAACGGGAGACACCGAAUCGAAGAGGAAAAGCUCGAAAUCAGAUGUGCGGCACCUGACGAAAUCGCCGUCAGAUUCCGAGCCGGAGCUGGAGCCGGAAUCGGAACCGGAGCCGAAAUCCACGGGGUGGCGCGGCCUCUUCGACGACCGCAGAGCCUCUUCACCCAGGGACAUCCUCCUUCCGCCGCCGGGACUCGCCGCGGGCCGCAUCGCUGGUCGACGAGCGUAGUGCAGCGCAAUUCGAAAUUUGGAGGGGGAGCGAGAGGGUAGUGAUGUAAUACUGGCAAAAUUUUGGUGGCCCACUCACAGUAUUGGCUUUUGUAAGGGAAAGUGUUCGUGCGCGCAAGGCUACGAGCAACUAGUUCCUCCUCUUGUAAUUUUUUUUUCCUUCGACGCGUCCGUUGAAGUGUUCGGCCGGUCGCGUUCCUUCCUCACGUUUUUCUUCCACCUUUUCCUUUUCCCCUCCCGCGCACACUCGGAUUUUUUCACUGUUUUAACCUUUUUUCUAAANNNNNNCACAAAAUGAACCAGAUUUGAAACCAUUUCACGAUCUGACCCUUUUAAAAACGCCACAAGCCGUGGCGUUGCUNNNNNNNNNNNNNNNNNNNNNNNNNNNNNNNNNNNNNNNNNNNNNNNNNNNNNNNNNNNNNNNNNNNNNNNNNNNNNNNNNNNNNNNNNNNNNNNNNNNNUGGACAAGAAUACAUGGAGUUACUCAAGCCAUUGAAUCAUUUGACUUUGUUUUCAAUCUUCACUUGAUGCUUGUUAUUCUUGGCUAUACAAAUGAGUUGUCCAAAUCUUUGCAAAAGAGAGAUCAAGAUACUAUUAAUGCAGUGGCACUUGUUAGUUUGGCAAAGAGUAGAAUGCGACACAUGAGGUGUCAUGGUUAGGAAGAAUUUCUUGCAAAGCUAACCCUAUUUUGCCAGAAACAUGACAUUCAAGUUCCUUUGUGGGAGGAUACUUAUGCAGGGGCAGAAUUAGCAUGGGUUCACGUCUAGGGCCAAAUUAGCUUCAGUGGUGUAUUUUAGAGAUUUUUUGUACUUAGUAAGUAGGUAUUACAAAGACUAUUGUCACUACACCUAGGGCUAUAGCCCCAUUUUCCCUAGGCCUGAUUCCAACAUUGUACUUAUGAGCAUCAUGGAAUAUCACGUUGGUAUAAUGAAGUUCAAACAAAUGAUGAUCGUUAUAAAAGAGAAGUAUAUCUUGGUGUCAUUGAUCAAACCAUUCUAUCCCAUGGACAUAUCAAGCACGGAUUUGAUAAGGCUAGAAUUUCAACUUGCUACUUUUAUUGAUGAUACGAGACAAGAUGAUAUUGGUGAGCUCUCUAUUUUACUUGUUGCAACAAAGAAUCAUAUUCUCUAUGAUUUGGUCUACUUACUCAUCAAAUUGAUAUUGAUUUUACCGAUGGCAACAACGAGUGUUGAAAGGGUAUUUUCUGCAAUGAAUCUAGUGAAAAAUAAAUUAAGGACUAGUAUGGGUGAUGAUCGUUUGGUGACAAUUAUUAAGCGAGAUGUGUUCAUGAAAGUAAAUGAAGAUGACAUAGUUGAUGCUUUCAUGACAAUGCAACGACGUAGAGUUACCUAGUGUUGUAAUUUUCUACUUCUGUUACUUUCAUGUAAGUCUUUUCUAUUGUAACUGGGCACAUUUGAAAUACAUUUUAUGUACUAAAUGGUUGUGAGAUUUCAAUUGAGCUAUUUAUGUUACUCAUUUGACAUAUUUUGAUACAUUUGGAUUAGGUAGGAAAAAAAUAGAGUGCGCAUGCCCUUUAUUUUAUUCCUGGGUACCCACACAAUGGAACGCAAAAAUAUCCAGCCGAGCGAGCAGUAAAUCCACCAUACGGGAUGUGCAUACUUAAUACUCCUACAUUGCAACAAAUAAUCGUGAAAAAAAAUGGAAAAAGAAACCAUAUGCGAUCAGGCACAUGACGAAGGAAGGGUCACAUGAAUGAAGAAGAGAGAAAAGCCACAUAUCGACCCGAAUAGCGAAGUGUGGGAGCCGCGAUGGCGGGCACUGGCAGCCAUACAUUGGGCUAUCCAAAAUCUCAUCUCUCGCCCAAUCCCGGCCUCACGAUCUCAAUUCUCACCCCGCGUGCACCACAAGCUCCAAUCCCCUAACUCGUAUAUACAGCCACGCCCGCCUCACCGUCCUUGAUCUUCCCCCCUAUCUGAUCGGAUCCUUUGGACAUGGCGUCGCCCAUGCUCUCCACGGCCAUGGCGCCACUCCAGGUAUUGCUCGUGUUCCAUUUCCAUUCCAUGCUUGCGUAGUAGUACAGUUCUUCCAUGUUUGUGACGCGCGGUGGUUAUGUAACUGGACUGCCAUGCAUCCUCUGUCGAUCCAGGGGGGCAUGCUGGAGUUCUCCGGGCUGAGGAGCUCGUCGUCGCUGCCGCUCCGGCGGAAUGCCACCUCCGACGACUUCAUGUCCGCCGUCUCCUUCAGGACAUACGCGGUAUGAUAUGAAUAUGAUGGGCGGAAUGUGGCUGUCACCUAGGAGUACGUAGCUCGCUUGGUCGCAUGCCAUGAGACAUGAGCGGCGCGUGGUACGGUGGUUGCAGGUGAGCACGAGCGGCGGGUCGCGGAAGGCGCCGACGGAGGCGAAGCUCAAGGUGGCGAUCAACGGGUUCGGGCGCAUCGGGCGCAACUUCCUGCGGUGCUGGCACGGGCGCGGCGACAGCUCGCCGCUGGAGGUGAUCGCCAUCAACGACACCGGAGGCGUGAAGCAGGCGUCCCACCUCCUCAAGUACGACUCCACGCUGGGCAUCUUCGACGCGGACGUCAAGCCCGUGGGCGACAACGCCAUCUCCGUCGACGGCAAGGUGAUCAAGGUCGUGUCCGACCGCAACCCCUCCAACCUGCCGUGGGGCGAGAUGGGCAUCGACCUCGUCAUCGAGGGCACCGGCGUCUUCGUCGACCGCGCCGGCGCGGGCAAGCAUCUCGAGGCCGGAGCCAAGAAGGUGCUCAUCACCGCGCCCGGCAAGGGCGACAUCCCCACCUACGUCUGCGGCGUCAACGCCGACCUCUACACCCACGCCGACACCAUCAUCAGCAACGCCUCAUGCACCACCAACUGCCUCGCCCCCUUCGUCAAGGUCCUCGACCAAAAGUUCGGUACGUGCCCGUCUCCCUCCCUCUCUCUCUCUCUCAACUGAAUCAACUUGUUGACGAUGACUAAUGGCGGCGGUGGCAAUGGCGCAGGCAUCAUCAAGGGAACCAUGACCACAACCCACUCGUACACCGGCGACCAGAGGCUGCUCGACGCGAGCCACCGCGACCUGCGCCGUGCCCGCGCCGCCGCCCUCAACAUAGUGCCGACCUCCACCGGCGCGGCCAAGGCCGUGGCGCUGGUGCUCCCCAACCUCAAGGGCAAGCUCAACGGGAUCGCGCUCCGGGUGCCCACCCCCAACGUGUCCGUCGUCGACCUCGUGGUGCAGGUCUCCAAGAAGACCCUCGCCGAGGAGGUGAACCAGGCGUUCCGCGACGCCGCCGCCAACGAGCUCAAGGGCAUCCUCGACGUCUGCGACGAGCCCCUCGUGUCCGUCGACUUCAGGUGCUCCGACGUCUCCUCCACCAUCGACGCGUCGCUCAGCAUGGUCAUGGGAGACGACAUGGUCAAGGUCAUUGCAUGGUACGACAACGAGUGGGGUUACUCCCAGAGGGUCGUCGACCUCGCCGACAUCGUCGCCAACCAAUGGAAGUGAACGCCCCCCCACAGCGGCAUUGCCCUGUCAAGUGACUCCUCUCGAAAUUUUCCCCAGCCGUCGUCACGGAUGAUCGAUUCUUUGUAAUGAGAAUUCAAAGUAUCGAGCUCCCAACAC